rnacentral:rRNA from 1 species
AUUGAACGCUGGCGGCAGGCCUAACACAUGCAAGUCGAACGAGUGGCGGACGGGUGAGUCAUGUCUGGGAAACUGCCCGAUGGAGGGGGAUAACUACUGGAAACGGUAGCUAAUACCGCAUACCAUCGGAUGUGCCCAGAUGGGAUUAUCUAGUAGGUGGGGUAACGGCUCACCAAGGCGACGAUCCCUAGCUGGUCUGAGAGGAUGACCAGCCACACUGGAACUGAGACACGGUCCAGACGCCUACGGGAGGCAGCAGUGGGGAAUAUUGCACAAUGGGCGAAAGCCUGAUGCAGCCAUGCCGCGUGUAUGAAGAAGGCCUUCGGGUUGUAAAGUACUUUCAGCGGGGAGGCGUUACCCGAAGAAGAAGCACCGGCUAACUCCGUGCCAGCAGCCGCGGUAAUAC